rnacentral:lncRNA from 1 species
UUGCUUCUAGGCCCAGUAAAAAGACUAAGAAGAGACCCAUAUAAUUUGAAGUUCACAAAGACAGCAACCAACAAACAAGCAGAAUUAUAGAUGAAGAACUGUUCUGUGGCUUUGCUGAUGUUGCACAUGAAAUGUGUUUGCUGAAUGCAUGAGCAUCAUCUGAGAACAUUACAAUGUCUGGGCGCUGGGAUGUGUCACCAUUGAUCGCGUUAUAGCUGCACUGGUUUUGAAAAGUAAAAAAUGCUUUCUGAUUAUUUUGCCUUAACUGUCUUGAAGAAUGUUG